UUGGCCCAAAUAAUGAGAGGAGCCCAAUACUUGCUUUUUAGGGUUUCACCUCUUUCUCUCAUCAGUCGCUCACUCCCUCUCUCUCUCUCCUCUCCUCUCCUCCCCGUCAUUCACCUCUCCUCCCCUCCCCGUCAUACACCUCUCCUCUCCUCUCCUUCCCUCCCCUCUCCAAUACUUGAGUAGCGAUUGUGUUCAUCUUGAGACGAGAAACUUAACCGGCGGCUUCAUACAGGAGCUCUCAAGCGGCGUCGUUUUGGGUGGAGGUGUAACCGGCGGUGACGGAACUCUUGUUGAAAACCCACUCCGGUUCGACCAGGGUCCGAACCCGGUUAGCGUCGAUUAGCGUCGAUUGUGGCAGACGUUGAAAACAACCAAGCCCGUAGGCUUCUUCAUCCUUAGAUCCAAGUCGUUGAACGAACUGAUUCUAGAAGGAAAGAAAGCGAAAUUGACAUGGAAGAAUCUCGAGAAAGGGAUGAAUCACUGCUUUUCCAAGACCUGGCUUUGAAUGAUGACUUGCAAAGAGUACUUGCAAAGCAUGAAGCCGCAAGAGAACUCGAAACCUGAAUCUAGUAAAGGGCUUGUAGCUAUUGAUGCUCCUUUGGUUGAUUUAGGAGAAAGCAGCAAGCAAGCUGAUGGAAGAUUUGGCGUAUGGGAAGCUGCAAAAUGGGUUGCACGUGUCCGAGAAAGUACAAUAUUACCCAGCUCGCCCUAUUCUGCUUAACUUAACAAUUGAGAUAGUUAAAGAGAACAGAGGUACAUGUGAAGUAAAGAGUUGGCCUUGGAGACUGCAUUUCUUAUGAAGAUGAUGGAGUCCUAGCUGUUCUCCUUAACCUGGUCCUGUUUUCUGGAAGAUUGGUCGAUGUCUGAACUACUGAAGUGUCACAGGAAUUCCUGUACUAUUAUAAUCCCUUGGUUUUAUCAUGUCUUGUUUUACUAUACAUAUUUAACUCCCAGUAGAUCCCUAAGAUCUGGAUUAAAAAAUCCAAAUCGCAAGCAUUCUUUAUUUGUAAUGUUUUACUAAAAUUUUGAUAUUAUGUUGUAUUAAUUUUUACGAAAGGUUGUUUAGUAUAAUUGUUUAUUUACAGGAA